rnacentral:rRNA from 2 species
UGCAGUCGAACGGCAGCACGGGAGUAAUCCUGGUGGCGAGUGGCGAACGGGUGAGUAAUACAUCGGAACGUGUCCUGUAGUGGGGGAUAGCCCGGCGAAAGCCGGAUUAAUACCGCAUACGCUCUACGGAGGAAAGGGGGGGAUCUUAGGACCUCUCGCUACAGGGGCGGCCGAUGGCAGAUUAGCUAGUUGGUGGGGUAAAGGCCUACCAAGGCGACGAUCUGUAGCUGGUCUGAGAGGACGACCAGCCACACUGGGACUGAGACACGGCCCAGACUCCUACGGGAGGCAGCAGUGGGGAAUUUUGGACAAUGGGGGCAACCCUGAUCCAGCAAUGCCGCGUGUGUGAAGAAGGCCUUCGGGUUGUAAAGCACUUUUGUCCGGAAAGAAAACUUCUGCCCUAAUACGGCGGGAGGAUGACGGUACCGGAAGAAUAAGCACCGGCUAACU